ACGUCAUCCCACACCAGGGAUGAGGUCAUCGAAGGGAACGCUCGUCACGUGCGCAGCGUUCCGAUUGGCCGGCGCUCGCGCGGGGGGCGAGGCGCUCGCGCGGCGGGGAGGGUGGCGGCGAGAGACGGUUGCGGGGAUCCCCCACCCGCGGCCCCUCCCCCGCAGGUAGCGCAACCGCCCGCGGCGCAGCGCGGCACGGAGGGCGGGCGCGGCGCGGCCGGUACCUCUUGGCGGGGAGUCCCGGCAAGCCACCGAGUGCCCGGCCACGUCCCGGACUGCCGUCCCUCCCUCCGCCGCCGACGGCGGAGCGCGCGCGGAGGGGAAACUGAGGCAGGCGGCGAGAGGGCGCGCGGUCGCGGCGGUUGUGAGGGGCCGUUUUCCCCCGCCGUGUCACGGUGAGGCCGGGCGGCGCCCUGUGGAGCGGCAGCGGCGGUGGCAGGGCGCCGCUGCGGUAGCCCUCACGUCCAGCCUGCCCCGAGCCCGGCUUCCUGAGGACAGGGGGUCUGCUGGGGCUCAGCUGCACGCAGGGUCCAGUGCAGCCUCCUAAGAAGCUCGUUUUCGAGUGAUAAUGCACGUGAUGUCUUCGCAGCCUAGUCCGGAGUCCUUUGGCGUUAGCAGGGACACACGCGUGGGCAUUUGUGCGUUUUGGAUCCGACCCUUUAAAACUGCUAAACCCACUCAUCUUGAUACAACUUGAAAAAUUAUAGUCGACUUUAUCGUUGCUUUAGGCUUUCUUUUCAUUGAAAUGAGCCAGUUUGAAUUAAACACCUGAAUAGGGUUUUAUACGCCAAAAUAGAAUUAUUAAAAUUUGAAGAGUUUCUUCUUAAAUAUACAUUAGAAUGAGGAGAUUUCUGUUCUUGUUGAAGGGUAAUCUGGCCCUUUAUCACUUCACUGAAGACAGCUCAAAUUCUAGAAAGUGACAUCUAAGCUAUGUACAGGUUUGCAAAUAAUAUGCUUUUAGAUAUUCUGCAUAAGUCACAAAUACUCUGAAAUAGUUACUAGAAUCCUUACAUUGUGUUUCAGUGCUGUGUUUAAAUCCCUUUCCCAAGGAGUCAAGGCAAAUGGUUCAAGCCACAUUAAGGAAAACUGGCAAUGUAUCUCACUGGGUCCAGCUAGUCGCUCACCUUUCUAGAUCUGCUUUUUGUCAUUGCUAGCUCCUUUGGUGGUUUCACAAACUGUGAAACCAUCUGUGAACGGAGCAUUUUUUUCAUUCACACAUUUGUGCCACUGGCUCUUCUCUCCUGGCAUUAAUGUGUCCAGGUGACGAGCCAGCAGAAAAACCCAAACAAACUGCUUGGCUUAAUCUACAAUACUUUCCUGAUCUGGCUUGUUGCAUGAGUAUGCAGACAAGUGCACUGGCACAACAGUGGGCCUAGUGUUGUAAUAUGAACAGUGAGGAAAACAGUUCAUCUGUUAGUAUAAACAAGUUUAUGCACUGGAACCAGCAGUGUUACCAGAAGAGCUUUUGUGAAACUAACCUGAGCUCAUAAAUCUGGCAAGGCCCAGCUAACUUUUUCACAGAUGCUCAGUUAUUUGUCAUCCAAACAGAAGCAAUUUGGCCUUGCAUAACUAUUUUCUCAGCCACAACUCUCCAAAGGGGCCUGUGUCACAGAGAACCUCCAUGCUAGUACUAUCCUGUUGAAAACGUUACGUUUUUUAAGGUCUGCUCACAUAUGUACAUGCGUACACACGCAUAUAAAUAGUGUUAUUGUGCUGUUUUUUAUUAUCAGUAUUUCUGGAUCUGUCAAAUUCCCAGUGAUACUGCAGCUAUUAGAACAGAACCCACAAGGUGGCUUGUGUAAUAUUGGUACCAGACAGCAGUUACGCUGCUGAUUUGGGAAAAUUUUGAACAAAAUUAACAAAAUAUUUGUGGUUUCAAAGGGCACAAGACAGAUAUGUCUUAGACAAAUACGUCUCAGAAGCUGACUUUAAAUAAAGUUGUAUAGAUACUUUAAUUCCAUGUAAAUAAGAUUUUUCUUGAUGCUAAUGAAUCUAGGCCAGGAAUUAAUGGUGUGGAAUUUACUCAUUCAGAAUUAUUUGAAUAUUUUCUCAUUCUUUCAGAGUAGCAUGUUCAUGAACAAUUCUUUCAAAUAUUUCUAAUUUUAAAAGCUUCUAUGGAGCACUUAGAUUGAUAUAUUUUUCAUAUACAUAUGUGUGGUUGCAGCUGUUAUUGCCCAGUGCAUGUUUGUUGAGUAUAAGAUUUGUUUUCCAUUCAGAGCAUCUAUUAGCUGUUCAGAUUCACUUUUGAUCGUUCUUGCCAGUAAGUUCAGUCAGUGGAAUUUUGUCAAAAACUGAACCUGUGCAAAAAAUGAAUGUAAAGCAAAUUAUUUAUAAAAUGUGGAUGAUUGUACAUGGCCUUUGGGGAAAAAAUUACCUGUAUAUGUGAAAAUUGUAAUAUGCUUGCACUGGUUGUAUGUGUAAGUAUAAAAAAGUUACUCUUUUUUUGUGAUGCAAAUACUGUACUGUAGUACAAAGUUGUAUACUUGUUUGUUGUUUUUUAAUAUAAAUACUUGUUUCAUUUUCAGUACAAAAAUAUUUUAAAUAAAGUCAUAUCCUGGAG